CCAGAGGUUUUGGCAGGAGGCUAUUUUUCUGCAUCGAAUCAGGCAUUGGCAAGGGCAUUCAUAGAGUACUGACGUGGGGUCCUCAGAGUAAGGUCGGUGGCCAGCGGACGGAGAGCUCAUCUCUGCCGGAGCAAGGAUGGGGAGGCAGCCGAGCUCCUGAAGAGGCCGGUGAAGGACUUGGUUUGGCAGCUGGUCCUUGCCUCCACCCCGCCCAUCUGCACUGGUCAGAAGCCAGGGCCUGCAGUUCCUUCCCUGCACUGGCUUUCUCUGUCAGCCCCACGAGACAAGGACAUGGUCUCCUUCACUGCUGCACCCCAGCACCCCCGGGGUGGUGCCUGGUGCUCAGUGGAAGCUCCCGAAACCAUCGUUGAUUGAAUGGAUGAACAGAACAGGUGCUCAAUACAGGUGCUUCAGGUUCCAGUCUGUCCGGGAUCAGUGGACCUGAUUCCCUCUCUCUGAAGAAACCAUCUCUGGCACCCCAGGCCUGCAAACCCCACCCACCAGGCCCUUCUGCAAAAAUCUCAAUUAUCCACAUGUUAGUUGAGCUCCUCGUGGGUCCCAGGGGGCAGGGGAAGGAGAAGGCUUUGAACCAGCCCAGCUCCCAUCGGUACCAUCAGUACCUGCUCAGGGACCCAGAUGAGAUCUUCUGCCACCAUCUGGGUUUAAAGUAACACUUCAGGGAAGCAAAAAUCAACCAUCCCCAUAGCAAAUGCCUAGGAUGACAGGCACACAAGACAGGGCUGUACAGAGAUCUCUCCAAGUAGCCUGCAAGCCCCUUGGCAGAGUUCCUGUAUUCUCAUCGCCUGAUGUCGCCCUUCACCAGCCCAGACACUUGCUGACUGCAUGUAUCAGAUGUUGGGCUCAGAUGUUGACCCCAGGCAGAGGGUCUAGCUCCAGGCUCUCCCCUAGCCUAUCCCACACCCAGGCCUAUACCACCGGCCUCCCCGCCUCUCACUCCGACGCCAAGGCUGCAGGUGUCACCUAAUGCCCCCCACCCCCACUAAACCUUCCCAAGCUCGAGCUUGCCUGUUGCUCCCCAGCUGAGGCCCCCCUUCCCCUGGGCAGCUCUGACCCUCAGCCUGUAGCCAACACCUCUCACUUGGAAUAUGUCGUAGGUUAUCUCUUGCACUGCACGUUCUUGACUCUUGGUUUGUCACCCAGUUUUUUAUGUGCUUAUGUCUCCAGUUCAUGCAUGGCUCCCUUUGAGCCACAGUCUUGGGGCCUCAUGGUUGGCCAGCUCCCUCCCGAGUCCCUAGCAUUGCCUCUAGUUCACAGGAAUGUCAGGGCGGGCUGUCCCCUCUCCCUUUGGUUGGCUCUUCCUCUCCCCCAGACCCUCCCUCUCUGCCCCGUCAUGUUUCCUCUUUCUGCAUGGCUCUCAGGGCACGUGCUGCUUGGUCAUGACCUGGCCUCUGUCAGGAUGGGAGCGCAAAGCAAAGCAGGGAGCAGCCGCUGGCCCCCAUCAGACUCCGGAAGUCAGCCACACCUGGCCUUCCGUGGGAAUCCUGGUGGCAGCAGAAAUGAGCGGGGAGGUGGGGCAGAUGCCUCAAGCCCAGACCCUCCCACAGGAGAGACCAAAGAGGGAUGGCGAAGAGCCUCAAAAAGCCAGGAGAGAAUCGAGCCACCAUAGUACUCAGUCCUGGAAAUUCCAAAAAGACUGCUUUUUUUAGGGCAAGAGCCACGAAGCUCUACUUUCCCCCUUUUGAGACCAGAUGCAUUUCAGAAUUCAAGAGUUUUCAAAUUUUAGAAAGAUAAUAUAAUACACGUACUGUGUAUAAGAGAACAAACCUAGCAAAUUAUAGGGAGAAGCCAGCAAUCAGACAUUAUUUCUGCGGAAGUACAUCUACAGGUUGGGAUAAACAAAGACCAUAGCUAUUUGCACUUUGGUUUAGGUCACGUCUCGCUGCCGUUUGAGUUCACCGCAGCUGUGCUAAAGAAUUGUGGUUGCUGUAGCUUUCUGGAGUCUGAAACUAUGGAUAAAAUUUUGCGAACCUGUGAGAAACUUUUAGUACCUGUCAUCAGGAGAGGUUGUGCCGUCGAAUUUUAAAGAAAGCCCCCCGCCAAGUUCUCACUGUGGAUCAAACCCGCAUCCUCAUGGAUGCCAGUCGGGUUCUCUAACUGCUGAGCCACGACAGGAACUUCUUCGGCACUUUUAUGUAUGUAAAAUCCUCAUAACAACCCUACAAGUUAAGGAUUAGCCCAUUUUAUAGAUGGGAAAAACUGAGGUCAGAGCAGAUAACUGGCUUGCCACAAUUAGUAAGUGGUUGGCUAGAGGACUUGAACUUGAUCUGUGUGACUCCCAGGCAGGUGCUCCUUAUGCUGUAGCUGGGCCUUAGGCUGCCUCCCAUCCUGCUCAGGCUGAUGUCAGGGCCGAGAUAUCACAGCACCUCAUAGCACCUGGCCCACCUCCUCCUGAGCCCAACUUCUGCCUGAGCACACAAGGCUAAAAGCACCAGGACCUCUCCCCAUUAGGAGAUUCCAGCCCAGGAAUCCCCACCCCAACCCCUUGCUUCUCUCUCCUCUCGGUUUCCCCAUCCUCAGCCUCAGAAACUCCACCAUCCACCGAGGAGGCUGGUUUGACCCAAACCCUAGAGUCCCAACUCCUCAGGGGUUACAGUUCAGCCAGAGACAAGCUAGACGAAAUUCCUUCCCCAAAUACAGUGAUUCUUAUCGGUAAUGUUUGGCUUGCAGUCUGCUACCCCAAAGCAGUACAAUUCCUUUCACCCUUGUCCUUGCCUUCAACCCUGUUUUUCUCAGGACCCAGUCAAUCCAUAAAACUGUUUUUUAAAAAUCCAAAUACAUAAAACACUUAGAAAUAAUUAUUUUAAUUGUUUGCAAGGCCCACACGCUGAAAAGUACAAAACACUGCUGAAAGAGGUGCUCAAAGCCCCCAAAAGAGAGAGAGGGCCAGUUUAUAAAUCAGGAGAUUCAAUAUUGUUAGAACGCCAGUCUUCUAUAAACUAAUUUACAGAUUUGAUGCAGUCCCACUUAAAAUCCCAGCAGAUCAUCCUGUAGAUAUUAACAAGUUGAUACUAAAAUUUAUGUGGAAAUACAAAGGACCUAGAGUAGCCAAAACAAUUUUGGAAAAAAAGUACUGGGUUUUAACACUUAUCACAGUAAUCAGUACUGUGGCAUUAGCCUAAAGAUAAGCUUAUGGAAUAGGAUAGAGAGUCCAGAAAUAAGCCCUUGCAUAUUGGGUCAAUUGACUCGUGACAUAGAUGACAAUGUAGGAAGGAUCAUCUUUUUGACAAAUAGUGCUGGAUUUAGUGGAUAGCCACGCAGAAGACAAUAACCUUCAACCAUUACUUCACAUCAUCCACACAAAAUAGCUCAAAAAGAAUCAUAAGACUUAAGUGUAAAAGCUAAAAUGAUGAUGACGUUUCUAGAAGAAAUCUCUGCAACCUCUAAUAGGCAGAGAUUUCUCAGAUAAGACACACAAAAAGUAAAAACCAUGCCAGAAAAAGUUCAAAAGUUGUACUUUAACACAACUAAAACUGUCUCUUCUUCAUAAGAUAACAAUAAGAAAAUGAAAAGGCAAGCUACAGACAGGAGAAAAAUACUGCUAAUACUUUCUGACAAAAGACUUAUAUCCAAAAUAUGCAAGCAGCUCUUACAACUCAAUAAGAAGAAGAUCAAUAACCCAAUAAAAAAGAUAUUCAAAUGACCAUAUGAUCCAAAAAUCCAGUCUUAGAUAUGUACCCAAGAGAAAUAAAAACACAUGUCCACAAAAAGGCAUGUGCAUGAAUGUUCAUAGCAGCUUUAUUUGGAAUAGCCCCAAACUAGAAACAAUCCAAAUGUCCAUCAACUGGUGAAUGAAUAAACAAAUUGUGGUACAUCUAUGUGAUGGAAUACUACACAGCAAGGAAAAGGGGAUGUGCUACUGAUAUAUACAACAAACAUGGGUGAAUCCCCAAAAUAUUAUUUUGAGCAAAAGAAUUCAGAUGCAAUAGGGUAUAUCCCAUAUGAUUCCAUUUAUAUGAACUUCUACAAUGGGUAAAACUAAAGUGGCAGAAAGCAGAGAAGUCGUGAUAGUGGGGGAGUGUUGACUGCUAAGGAGCACAAGGGACCCUUAGCAUGAUGGCACUAUUCUGGGGAGUAAUUGUGGUGGUAGUUACAUGGGGUUUUACAUUUGUUAAAACCCAAUUCAUGCACUUAGAUUGCAUGCAUUUUAUAGUAUGUAUUGUUGAUUUGGGAAAAAAAUAAGGUUGUGUUUUCCUUUUUCACAAUGAUGACACUUCCACAACCCAAGAAGAUGGUUAGAAUCCCAGGAACUACCAAAAGUGAGCCUGUACUGAGCACUUGCAUGUGCCAGGCACCCUAUUAAGGCCCUUUCAUUCAUUAUUUAAAUUAAGCCCCACAGCAGCCAUUAGGAUGGGCAUUAUCAUCACCCAAAGCUCAGAAACGUUAAGACACAGCCUGAAGUCACACAGCGAGCAAGAGGCAAAACCAGGAUGCAAAGUAAGGUCUAGAUGACUGAAAAUGCUGUGCUUCCAUAAACAGCUCUGUACCAUCCCUAAGACAGGAGAGAAACGCACACAGUGCAGAGGUCACACAUCUAAAAAGCACCAUUAAAGUCAACUAUGUUUUUUAACAUUGCAUCCACAGGAAUUAUUUCUAGUUACAGAAUUCACUGGGCUGACUCAAAGACUGGACUGAGUGACAAGGCCUAUCAUAUACCCAGCUUUUCACAUAAUACAAUGAGCGUACAUUUAUAAAACACCACAGAAGUUAAUAUUUGCAGAAUUCCCAAGCCAUCUGAGCCAACACAUGCGCUCUUGAGUGACCCUAGACUUCCAAGCCAGGACCAGCUGGUUAGGGAAGCUUAGGACCUCCAGGUGCUAAAGACCUUGAAGGCAAGUGACUUGACCAUGGACAACACAGAGAGUGGUCCAGAGCCAGAACAGAUCUGGUCCACCUCCCAUCCCAUUGUCACCAGGCCAUCCUGUCUCACUGCUGAGGACAGAGAAUUUGUGGCCUCACCCAUCCCUCUAAAGCCAAGAGAGUCUGACAGAGUUAACCAAGUAGGGGAGGGGUUUACCCCCUCCCCCACCACAGCUCCUUUGCAGCUGCUGUUCUCCUCUGUGACCACACAAUAUGAGCUGUGAUCGCUGUUCUCUGCAGAGCAAAGAGCCCAGAGUGCAGGCGGGACCUGAUCUCUAUCCUGCCUCUCCCAUAACUUGCUGUGUGACAUAGGGUGAGUCACUGAACCUUUCUGACCUUCAGUUUCCUUUGGGGAACUAUUACACCCAUCCUGUAUACCUCAAGAAUGGGUCUGAGGAUCAGAUGACAAAGGGGCUGAAUAAGAAAAUGAUUUGGAAACUGCACGACUAGUAUUAUCAGCAUCAACAGAAUUAGGCUCUAGACUCAUGUAAAAGAACCAGAAGCAGUUGCCAGCUCACUGGUUUGGGGACGAUGGUUGCUUCAUCUGAAAAACAUAAAUAAUAAUAUAGGACGUGCUUGAAGCAGGGAGUUAAGACCAGAGAAGUUUUGGGGGUCACUUCCAAUUCUUUAAGUCUGAUUCUAUAAUUUCAAAAACCUCAAGAAGAUUGGCCUCACCUGUUCUCCUGAUGUUUGAAUUUUUUUUUCAUCAAGAUGCCAAAACACUUGCCUUGUAAUCAGAAAUGAGAUUUCAAAUGCUAAUGACCUGGAGAAGGGAGAAGCACAUCGCUUCUCAUUUUCACUACGGUGUGAAUGACUGAUUUAGAGUUCUUCCAGAGCAAGUCAUAACAGGGCUUACUUCAUGAGCGUUCAAGCUGAAUCCUGUCCUUUUCUCUGAGACCAAACACAUGAGAGCAUGAAGCCCCAGUUUUAGCUUAUUCUCUAAGCACUUGUCCUCCUCCCCAGAUCGGGGGAGGGGGGUGGUAGCUUAAGUGUACUUUUGCCAGCUCUGUCCAGGGGGAUCUCACGACUUGGAAGAGGUGGCCCAUGUGCACUUGAACCCUCUCAGCCCCAACCCACCCCUGAUCCCUUUUCAUUUCCCAGGCCACCCUCUUGCUCACAACCUUCAAGUUCCAGCCCUGUGUACUGCCACAUACUUUUUUUCCCUUCCCACCACACCAGCCCGGGUGGUCCCAGCCCUCUGGAGCCCCUCUCCUCCCACCUCACCUGGCCCUUGCCCCAUCCACAACCUUCAAACCCGAGCAAACGAAAAGACUGUGGCAAUGAGCUGGUAUCCGAGCUCAUCAUUUGUCCUCUACAGUCCGGCUCAAGUUGGGGCUGGAUAUCAAAAUACUGUACCUGGUCUUCUUAAUAAUUACUAGCAUUUACUAUGUGCUAGACCCUGUUUUAAGUGCUUUGCAAGUACUAACUCACAUGAUCCUCAUAGGAAAUAAGCACUAUUAUCUCCAUUUUACAGAUGAGAGACUGAGGCACAGAGAGGUUAAGUGACUUGGCCAAGAGCACACAGCUAGCAAGUAGAUGGAUUAGGGAUUGAACCCAAAUUCUGUGCCCUAACCAUUCGAUCCUGUGUCCUGAGGUAGCAGCAGUGUCUUUUCAAGCCUAAAAUCAUUGGGAACAACCUGUAUGUACAGUGCUCUUGAAGUGAAUAGAGAGGCUUAGUCAUAUCAAGUUCAGCCCCUUCUUUGUACAAAACGGGACACUGAGGCAGAGACUGAGUGGUCUUCCCAGGUCACCAGCAAGUUGAGCCCAGAGCUAGUCUGGGCUGACACUACCCCACCCCCUAUACAUUUCAGAAGAGGCCAUUGCCCACAGCCAAGGCAUGCUUUAACCAGGGGUCAUGACCUGGAAAUUAGCACACAGCCCUAUUCCAGCCUCUCCUGGACCUCUCAGACCCUUAUUCACCCCUCCCUGCCAGGUCCUCAAGAGUAGUGUCUGGCAAGCCACUUGCUUGGUGGUUUAUGUUUUUGGGGUUUGGCUUUUGUUUUUUGUUUUUUUGUUUGUUUGUUUUUUGCUUUUGCGGGAUGGGGUUAGACUGUAAACCUCACCCUGACUUAGGUUGAAGAUUUCAAAAAAUGAUUUAAAGUAACAGGCUGUGCAUACUUGGAGCAAGCGUGGGGUGGAGGUCAGGAAAGUGACUUCACACCCAUGACCCCAUCGCCCACCCCAAGUCCCUGCAAUUCAGGGUCAGAGAAUGAGUGAUGAUUGCCCUGUAACUUGUUCUCCAAACACUGCCUGCUUUCACCUCAUUCUCUCCCCAGGUGUCACGCCACCUCUGAUCCUCCUUUUCCAGUCAUAUACACCACCUCCCCUCUCACUCUCUUCACCAUUCUCUUGAGAAUUCACCCAAAGCCAGGUCUGAAAUUUGGUCAGGUUUCCCCCACAGAGGUUUCUCUCCGCGUCUCCAGCUGACACUCCCCACAGUCCGCAGGUUCCUCCAUCGAGAUCCCCUCCCCCGGCCUCGGUGACAACCCACCCGCCCAGCCAGCCAGCCAGGUCGCUGCUCCGCGGGGCAAAGGCAGAGGGUGGGGAGGGAGACCCUGGCAAGGGCUAUGGCUAGACAGAGCCCACGAUGGGGGCUGACAGAGCAACGAGUGAGGGUCAGAGAGGAUAUCUGAGCCCGAGACUGACGCCUGGACCGGAACAAGGUCCGAGACGCCUGCAGGGGUCCGGGAGCCUGCACCGGGCCAGGGUCCGAGACCUGAUGGAGUGGGCGGGAUGAGGUCUCGGACAGGGCAGGGGAGAAGAGCGGAGGUGUAGGGGAUCAGAGCUCGGACCGAACCUGGGAAGCCAGAGAAGGCGGUCGGGGCGCGAACUCCGACCCUGAGGUGCGGCCAGUGCUACCGGGGCUAAGGACUGAGUUCGAGAUCCCACCCCGGCCACCAGCGGGAAGGAAAAGUUGGCGGUGCUGCAGCGGGAGGAGGGGAAGGCAGGCG